rnacentral:lncRNA from 1 species
AAAACUGCAUUGUUGUAUUGAAGUGCAUUUUACUUGCAUACUGGGACGAUCACAAAACUGCACACGUACAUGCUUCAAAAAGAGAUGGAUGACAUGAGCUAAAUGAAGUCAAACAUACAUUCUCCAAAUCAGAAAUACUGAAAUAAUCAAUGAUGAUUACUAACCAAUCCCUGGCUAUUAUGCCACUGUUGUUGCACUCAAACGAAUACCAGGUUAAUCAAAGCACCCUCAGUGUAAAGUUUCAAGAAAAAUCCAUUAGAAACCAUGGGACACCUGGAAAACAUCCCAGAAUAUGCAUGCAUAUUACAGAGAAAACGAAAAAAAAUAUUUUCUAUAUAAGUACAGUAUUUUCACUGCUCAAAAUAUAAAACGUAUACAUUCAUAAAGCUUCCAGCAAUUCAAAAAAAUAAUAUUUCAUUAGUACGUGGAACAGAUUUACAAACAAAAUAGUCCAUGGAUCAUCGUUCUCAAAUACUAACAGAUUGUCACCGGUCCUCAACUGCUCAUCAUCCAUAACCUCCUGUUUGGUAAUAUAUGCAAAUGCAUAAAGGGACCUUUCCAAUUCUAACUUCCAGUAAUUCAUAUGCUUCUAGCCCAACAAAUUGGCACCAGACUUUGUACAGCCGGGCAAGAAGGAACCUGGCGAUAUUCCCCAGAGAUGAUCCAAAUUAAUUUAGGUGCUCCAUGAACUCUGUGAAGACAGAAGAAAGGACGCACCGGCCAUGAUUGCAAGGAUAGACGGAUGACUUGAGGGCCAUGACGGCAUGCUCGUAGUGGAGGCCAUCCAGCUCUCGCAUUGGGGCCCCCGCUGAGGCAGUUGAAGCAUGGAAGCGAGGGACGAUUUUCUUUUCCGCACGAUAUGAGAACGGGAGGAGGGUUUGGGAAGUGAGAACGGCUGCCUGCAGAUAAUCGAUCCCGUCCUCGCAGCCAUCCGUGGAGG